GCCCACAUAGCUCAGUCGGUAGAGCACUUCCUUGGUAAGGAAGAGGUCACCGGUUCAAAUCCGGUUGUGGGCUCCG
rnacentral:tRNA from 1 species